UGGGGAAUUUUGGACAAUGGGGGAAACCCUGAUCCAGCCAUCCCGCGUGUGCGAUGAAGGCCUUCGGGUUGUAAAGCACUUUUGGCAGGAAAGAAACGUCAUGGGUUAAUACCCCGUGAAACUGACGGUACCUGCAGAAUAAGCACCGGCUAACUACGUGCCAGCAGCCGCGGUAAUACGUAGGGUGCAAGCGUUAAUCGGAAUUACUGGGCGUAAAGCGUGCGCAGGCGGUUCGGAAAGAAAGAUGUGAAAUCCCAGAGCUCAACUUUGGAACUGCAUUUUUAACUACCGGGCUAGAGUGUGUCAGAGGGAGGUGGAAUUCCGCGUGUAGCAGUGAAAUGCGUAGAUAUGUGGGGGAACACCGAUGGCGAAGGCAGCCUCCUGGGAUAACACUGACGCUCAUGCACGAAAGCGUGGGGAGCAAACAGG
rnacentral:rRNA from 1 species